rnacentral:rRNA from 1 species
UACGGAGGGUGCGAGCGUUGUCCGGAAUCAUUGGGCGUAAAGGGCGCGUAGGUGGCCCGGUCAGUUCGUGGUGAAAGCGCGGGGCUCAACCCUGCGUCGGCCAUGAAUACUGCCGCGGCUGGAGCACUGUAGAGGCAGGCGGAAUUCCGGGUGUAGCGGUGGAAUGCGUAGAGAUCCGGAAGAACACCGGUGGCGAAGGCGGCCUGCUGGGCAGUUGCUGACACUGAGGCGCGACAGCGUGGGAGCAACAGG